rnacentral:tRNA from 1 species
GAGCACUGCCGGCCGGCUGCCUGUGAGCGGCCGCCGGUCGUCACCCC